CACAAGGAGAGACUUGUGCUCCCCAUUUUCACCCCCAUCUAUUUUACCUGUCAGCCUAAGUGGGAGCUCUUUCCAGCUGUCCUAUUCCUGGCCGCUGUGCCUCUCCGGCUCCAGGUGCCGCUCACCUGUGCCCAGCUCUGGCAGCUGGGCCAAAGUGCUGAGCAAGCCGCAAACUACCCUGGCAUCAAACUGUAAUUGUGUAAACUUGAGGCUGGCAUAAAAUGGCACUGUCACACACAGCCCUGCCCUCGCUUUUGCCAGCAGCCAGAUCAAGGGAAAUAAAUGGUUUCAAUGAAGAUCACUUAGCGCUUUGCAAAUUCAAAACAUUAUGCAAAUAUGAGCCAGUCUUUCUGUGUCCUUGUUGAGAAAUAUACAUAAGAUGACUCGUUUUAAGUAUUUGUAGCAUGGCUGAAAUAUGUAUCUGGAAAUACAUCUUCUCCAUCUUUAUUAAAGCUGUUUUUCAAGCCAACUGUCAAUACAAAUGUUCCAAAAUUGGCCUAGUUAAUUAAAGAUUGUGAUUGAAUAUGUAGGGGAUUCCAAUUAUUCAUUUAUGUGGAGAAAACAAAAGCUUUUCACGCUGAACAGGUCCCUUCAACUUUGUAUUGUUCAGAGAAUUGAGAAUAUGAUAUGGUCCUGUCCCAGGCAGUGUUAUCUUUAUACAAUAGAAGGAUACAUUUCCUUUUUACAACACUCUGCAACAAGCAGGCUUGCCUCUUAUUUUUCCUCUUGGGUUCACAAAGAAUUUUUCCAGUAGUAUUCAGCCCUGCAGUUGUGUCUGGAAAAACUCAGUAAAGAUCUGUGUGAGUGAAGCUGCUCUCACCAGGUCCUGCUCUAGGGGCCUGUCCUCUUUGGGAGCAGAGCGAUGCCCAGGCACGUCCCAGCUCGGUCGGAAGCAGAGGAAGGCGACGGCGGCUGGAAGCUCGUGGUUUUCCAGGACAUAAGGAAAAGACUAGGAUGCACUCAGAGUGAAGAAUGAGGACCGUAGGAAAAUGAACAGGUGGAUGGGAUCAUCUCGGAAAACAGAAAAUAAAGACCAGACAGGCUGUAACUUUCAGCAGGAUGGUGACUAGUCCCCUGGAUGUUUGACUGGAUCUUCUCCUGCAGAGCUGACUCUGAGCUCCAGCAAGGCAUGGCUGGAAGAUGAGGUGUAUGUUGCCAGCUGUCUGAAGAAACGGGGGUACAAAAUCCCUGGACUAUCCAAGGUAACCAGGGGACGGCAGUCUGGAGUCAGCAUAAGUAUAAAUGUGAAUAAAACAAGAUUUGAAAUAUUAACAAAAAGCCUGAAUCAUCACAGAAUUUCUUUCUGCUUUCUGGUGCUUCAACAACACGUACUUCCCAGCAAUUCACAAGAAAACAAAGGAACAUUCCAGAAAACAGACUUCACCUUCAGUGACAAUUGUGGAAAGUCAAAUUGGAUGGAGCAUAACUUUCCAAGCUAGUAGACAGGCUUUCUGAUGAACUCUUAUAAUAAAUUGCUAAAUGAGAAUUUAGCCUAAUUUUUGCAAUGAGAAAAUUAGCAAAUGAGACUUCCCUCUUCUUCUGAACAGAGAAUCAGCCUCUAUGUCAGAUGCUGUCUUCUGGUUUGCCAAGGAGCACUUUCUCUCAUCAAUGCAUCAUACGCAGGAGACAAAUCAACCUCUGGCAUGAACCAUACCACCUUAGGGUGUCUGUUAAGUAAAGCAUUUACUUAUCUAACCAAGAAAGUAUCUUACUAACCAGAACAGACAGAACAUUACAGGAUUUGGCUUCUGCCUCUUCCAGUGUGGAUCUCAUCCUCUUUAAGGUUAAGGGUUUUUCCUCCAUGCAGGAAUUAAAGGUGCUUUGAGUCCCCUUUGAACAGGAAAAAUUGCCUUCUGGACCUCCAGUUCUGCUGUUUAUUCCUAUGGACAUUGCAAUAAACCUAUGUGAUGGUGAAGACUGGAAAUUAAAUACAAUCUGGGCACCCAAGCAAUCAGUCUGACAGAAUUCUAUUUGCUGUUGGAAAAAUGUCCUGCAUUGAGCCUGUUUGCAUGGAAAUGAAAUUACUUCAUAGUUUCUGGAGUUCCUCGUUCCUAUUUAUGUCAAUGUCUCCUAAGUAAAAAAAAAAAAAAAAAAAAAAAAAUAUAUAUAUUCUAGUGGGAUAUUUAAGAUGGAGUUGGAGCCAGCCAGCCACUGAGAGCAAGCACAGCAAGAAAGCAAGAAGCAGUGUGAGGGAAAUGGUUUCUGUGCCCAGCUCUAAUAAUGCCAGCACAUGGGAGGUCCUCAGGAGCAGAAGUAUGUGAAGAAAGAGAAAAGACCGCUGCCAGAACACAUUUUGGAUAAGGUUAUAAUAUCUUGGAAAGUUCGUGCCUUGUUUACCCAUGAAGCUGUUUACCCUUUGGCACAGAUUUUGUCUUUGCUAGCAUAUAUUGAAAGCUGGGAAGACUUGCCAGAAGUUGUGCUUAUGAGGGAGAAGAAAUGCUGAUUUUUUGGUUCCUCAACCCUUUGCCCUCAGCUGUGCUACCUCUGGCCACCCCAGCAAGCUGGACAUCUUCCUGCAGGAAGCAGAAACUGGUCACCAUGGCUCCUCAUCUUUCAUCUGGAAAGAGGACACCUGCAAGGGCUUGAAAGAACUGCCUAGAAUUUUCCAGGGUUUCCUGCAAGGUGCUGGACAACUCCACCACCCACCUAUGCCAAUCUUCACCUCUUCACCCAUAAAAUGGGACGAGGAGCAUUUACCCACCUCUUACCCUGGCUCUUUUUAAGUCAUCCAUGUGUAGGAUAUACUUGAGCUUAAGGGCUCAUCCAAAUAUCAAACAUUAUCCUUUCCCCUUACCAUGCCUGUUUUGGAUACUUAUCCUCAAAUAAUUUUAUCUGAAAUUUAGUGGUCCUCUGCUUUACUUAUGCCCUGAGAAUGUAGAGCAUUUUUAUUUCCUUGGUCCCUCUCCUUUUUUUUUUUCUUUUUUUUCAUUCCCUCCUUCUCCCCUUCCAUGAUCUUGGGCUCUUACUCUCCAGUCACAGCACCUACCUUCUCUCAAAACUGAGGUUUCAUGAUAAUUAGUACCAGACCUGAACACUACCUAUCCAAAAAGGACAAAUGAGAUCAAACAAUCACAUUCCUGCCAAAUUAGCCCAAGCCCAUAGCAAUGGUUUCUGGCAGCCUGAAGCUUUCACAUGAACUUCAUAUGAGGGAGAACAGGCAGUACCUGAUAUAGUGUGAAGUUGAAACAGCUAGUAAAAGCUGAACCUGUCAAUGUCCUUUAAAUGAAUGUGUAAUGGAGAGAUUUUACUGUCAGAUUGGUUUCAGGGAGCUGGAGAGAGCUUAAAGGUUUUCUGCAGACUUAUCCGUGUAACUCACCAGCUCCUUCCUUCUCUUCUCCCUGCCUCUUUCCACUGGUGGGCUGCACCCUUUCCCACAUUCCUACCUGGCAAUGCUGCUGUGGGGGUGAGAAUGGGUGACGAAGUAAUGCAGGGAAGAGAGUAAUGGAAAGGCUUUCACUGACAGUGCAACAUCUGAAAUUUUAUUUAGCUAUUGCUCCCUUUGUAAUUAAGAAAUAAAUAAAAAGGAUCAGGGCAUUGAAUCGAACAGCACUGGUCAAAGCAAGCUUUGCAGUGGUUCAUAGAGGUCAGUGCAUAAAAGUCCUUGCCAACCCUGGAGCACUCCUUUUGUAACUAAAAGGAAAACCAAAAUUGCACAACCCCACAGCUCUGAUUUAUUGUAAAGAUGGAUUUUUAGAAUUAACAAAAAAAGAUAGAAUUUAGGGGAAAGAGUUAGUACCAAGAGAAAAUUUUCAUAUAGAUUAGUUCUGUGGACAAUUUUGUAAGCUGGUUUAAGAAGCGAAAUUAAUCCAUUCAAGAUGCUCACUCAGCCCUUUCUCACAAAUAAAAUGAAGCAUCCAAUCACAUUUUGACAGUAGGAAACAAUUUGUGUGUUGCAAGCUGGUCUGGCUGAGAUUGAGUUAAAUUUUUAGCUAUUCCCAUGUCUUUAAGAUGUUCUGAUACACUUACCACAGUAAAAAUAUUGCAGACCACCCUUUUAUGAUAAUCCAGGAGAAUAAGCCGCCACUUUACCUGGUCCUGUGUGCUCUCUCCCCAUUUCCCUGACCUUGAAAGUUGCUUUGCAAUCUUUUUGCAAAGAAUCCAAAAGCUAGCAAAAAUGUGGGUUGCCUUGGUAGAGGCUCUGCAGUGUGUGGGGGUGUGCGUGCUUGCACAGAGAAUAUCCUGAGCAGGCAGUUUUUUAUGUCCUUCUGGCUCUGCUUGUACUCUGACAGCACUGAUGGUGUAAAUGCAGUAAAUAAUUCUGAGCAAAGGUCUUGUCUAAAGUUUGUGCAGGAUCUUUCUACAGCAGGGACCCUUCUGACCAUCAUUUUCUGCAGAGAGCAAACCAACAUGUACAGGACUACCAUGGAGUAGGAUCCUUGGUGUGUCCAGGUGGACAUGAAAACAAAAGCUGUGGGGAGAAAGGGCAAACCAAUUCUCCAUGACAAUAACAGGUAAGACAGGAAGUGUUUUAAAAGUUCAAUAUCAUAUGUCUUGUUUAGCCUUGGGAGAACAGUCUCCCAAUAUCAGGGAUAAAAAAGCAUGGGAAAGGAGCUCUCUGAGGCAGUUCAAGUCUGGCUGAUCUUGCCUCAAUAUUUGAGAUUCUUCCUGAAGCUGCUCCUAUCUCUAUUUCCUAUCAUUUUAUGAAUUGCAGUAUGCAGAUAGUUUUUCCUGGUAUUAAACUAGUCUGAACAGUGAAGCUAUCCUCUGUUUCAGGCCUUGUGCCAUACAAAUAGAAUUUUUCUUUUAUUCAACCUCAGAGCAACUGGGAAUUUCCCAGGCUGUUCCAUGUGCAAAUAGUUUUUGUGUAUUUGCUUAUGCCUGUACAUCCCAGGGAACUCCUGGCUUGGCAGGUAGUCAUGAAUUAACAAACAAGUAAAAGUCCACAGAAAGUAUAGCUAAGGUCCAUGUCACCUAUGUAUGGCCAUAUAGCCUAUACAAGCUAUUAAUCUAAUAAAAGAAACAAUGACAGCUCUGUAGCACACUCUGACAAAGCCACAAGGAUGUAAACUCACAGGCAUUCCUUUGGAAGAGAAGCUGAGCUAGCCCAAUGCUUUACAAGUUACUUUGUGUUUAGAGCACCAGGCAUUUCUCACAGUAGAGGAAGACCUUCUUUUCUCACUUUCCUUAGCUUGCUUUUCCUUCUGUGAACCCCUCAAGAAUGAUGCACACAGCUGACCCUCGAUGCUGCCAUGGAGACACCUAGUUCAGACUACAUGUAUGAGCUAAUUGGAGAUCCCAGGAUGCAGAAGGAGAAGAAAUGGGCUGGCAGUUUCCAUGGCAAUUCCCUAGUCUGUUAAAAAUAAUCAAUAUAACUAUAGUAACAAAUAGCGACUUGUUAACACAGAGCAGGGAAGCAGGGAGCAGGUUCAUGCUGUCCAGAGUAUACCAGCAGGGUGUUCCUGAGAUACUGAAAUGGAAACAGCAAAACAGAAAACUGCAUUUGACCUGCUUUUUAAUUUUAAAAAUGUUUCUGCUUCCAGAAGCAUUUCUGACAUGAGCAGGAAUUGCUUGUUAUCAACAUCUCCAAAAAACAAGUUCCUAACAAGCAUGUGCAUGAACAGAGUAUCAGGACACGGGCCGUGGCAAAGAUACAGCCUGGUCGUGCACAGGGUGUACAGCCUGCUUCAGUCAUCUCAUUUCUAAUGAGAUGCCAGAGCUCAGACCAUUUUCCAAGAACACUUACAUCAGUAAGGAAAGACCAAUAAAACCAGAUUAAUAUCUCAGGAUGUUUGUUUUAUGACAUUAUAACUUUGACAGUUAUGAAGUAAACAAAGCUGCUUUCACAUCUGUAAGCAGCGAUUUUCAAGAGCUAAAUAUGCUGAGAAUUUUUACUCCUAGUAUUUGUGCUAUUCUUCUCUUGUUCCACAGAGCUCAUUAGAUCCAUGUUUUGUUUUAAUGUUGUUAAGUGGUUUUCAUUAUGUCUUCAUGGAACAAAUGCCAUUUCUUCCUGCUGGAUGUCCAAAAGAGGUUGCUUCUCGGAUUGUCUGAUUUUUACAGAAUUUUACUUUCCUGCUGUCUUUAAAGGAGUCACUGCUGUGAGAAAUGCUUCCAUGCAGCACCACAGAGAGGUUUUUACCACCCCUCUAGUAUGUUUGCAAGGCUACCAUGCCCUCACUGGAUACUGGCAUAUGUACCUAUUUGAACUUGACAUCAAAACGUGUCUAUUUAAUGUCACAUGCAGUAAACAAGAUAUUUUAAAUGCACAGAGAGAGUACUUAGUUGCUGUAUUUCCUAAUGCUUUUUAAAGAUUUCAACACAUUUUAGAACAGAGAAAUUCCUUAGGAGGAGAGCUCCAGUGCGUGGUGUCAGCCUGUGCCAUCUGCUGAACUGGUUCAGCAGCAGCCUCUGCUCUGGGGUGCUGAAACACAGCAGCUUUUGUUAGGGAUGUGCAUCCCCAUGGGCAGUAGCAGAAAGGCACUGGCACAGCUGGUGGUGGCUUUCCCUAAAGGCGGCACUACCGGACAGGGAAGGG